AGAGUUUGAUCUUGGCUCAGGAUGAACGCUGGCGGCGUGCCUAAUACAUGCAAGUCGAACGCACAGCGAAAGGUGCUUGCACCUUUCAAGUGAGUGGCGAACGGGUGAGUAACACGUGGAUAACCUACCUCAAGGUUGGGGAUAACAUUUGGAAACAGAUGCUAAUACCGAAUAAAACUUAGUAUCGCAUGAUACCAGGUUAAAAGGCGCUACGGCGUCACCUAGAGAUGGAUCCGCGGUGCAUUAGUUAGUUGGUGGGGUAAAGGCUUACCAAGACAAUGAUGCAUAGCCGAGUUGAGAGACUGAUCGGCCACAUUGGGACUGAGACACGGCCCAAACUCCUACGGGAGGCUGCAGUAGGGAAUCUUCCACAAUGGGCGAAAGCCUGAUGGAGCAACGCCGCGUGUGUGAUGAAGGCUUUCGGGUCGUAAAGCACUGUUGUAUGGGAAGAACAGCUAGAGUAGGGAAUGACUUUAGUUUGACGGUACCAUACCAGAAAGGGACGGCUAAAUACGUGCCAGCAGCCGCGGUAAU
rnacentral:rRNA from 1 species